UAGUGGGCUGGCCUUUGGCACUUGUCUUAGGUGGGUGGGUGCAUCUUGGGCUAGUGGGUGGAGACUUAGGGUUUAACUCCUUGGUGGGUGGGAAGAUGCACACGGUGGGCUGGCCUUUUGAGCAUGCUAGCUCUAGGGGCGGUUCAAGGUUCUUAGUGUGACAAUCUUUGGCAGGGUGAGCUUGGUGGGUGGGACUUUCAACUCGCAGGUGCCUGGGACUUCGGGGUACUGAUAGGUUGCCGGGGAAGUUGUUCGAUGUUGCUCCUUGCAGGGGCGGGACUGGGACGUAGUGGGCUGGCUUUCCGGUGCAUUGUACCCUGGGGGUGCGCGGCUUAGAGGUUGCCACUUAGCAAGAGGGAAGUUGCAGCUAGUAGGCUGGCCCGUGGCUCAUUUUAUUCUGUGGGUUGGGCCUCAGUGUGGUCUGUGGAGACUGCGGCCUGCCCGCCAGUGGGAGUGCGCCGCGCGGCGAGCGAGGCUGAGGCCACGCGGAAAGCCAGCAAAGGCUUCGCAGGCUUUGAGAAAUGUGGUCCUGGAAACCUUCAAGCCAGUUCUGCUCUGACGUGACCAAACAGCACUGUAGCAGUGAGAAGGAGACUGCUGAGCCUAGAACCCCAUAGGACAACCUGAAAUGCAUCUGCUCGGUGAGUGGUGCAGGCCUGGAAAAACCCAGAAUGAGGGACUCCACUGGAGAGAAGAGGUGAGUUGGAAUUGGGGAGAGCAGGUUGAGGAAGGCCCUUGCAUGUCAGAAUGGGUUCCAGCCUGGGCAUCCUGGUGGUAGGAAGGCUGGGCUGCUGGAGUUCAGGAGGGUUAUGAUAAUAGCAAGUAAAAAGGUGGAAGGCAACAUCUCAGUAGUUCUAGGGGAAGGAGAAGUUGGGGCAGGACUGGGGAUGACAUCAGAUGGGAGAGUGUGGCCUGCCUCCCUUCUGGGAUUGAAAGGAAGGGGACACGGGUGUUGCUUGAGAGGAGUGCUGCAGGCUGAAGCAUGAGCGGAGGGAGGAAUGUGUAUGGCUAAUGAGGAGGGGACGGAAGGCAUGCUGUGGGCAUGGAAGAAGAGAGGAGGCGUGGGUGAAUGGAUAGAGAGGAGUCCCUUAGAAAUCCUAUAUGAAGUAGGAGUCUGGAGUGUAAAGACCUAAUAAUAUUUUCUCCCAGAGAAAGCAAGUGAGAAGGGAUACAAAGGAAUGGCUUAGAGAUUCUGUUGCACGGGGAUUAACUAUAGAUAACA